GUGGAUUAGAUACCCUAGUAGUCCUAGCCGUAAACGAUGUAGACUUGGCGUCGGCGGGUUUAAAUCCGUCGGUGUCGAAGCUAACGCGAUAAGUCUACCGCCUGGGGACUACGGCCGCAAGGUUAAAACUCAAAGGAAUUGACGGGGGCCCGCACAAGCAGCGGAGCGUGUGGUUUAAUUCGAUGUUACACGAAGAACCUUACCAGGGUUUGACAUGUAGGUAGUAGGGAUCUGAAAAGUGACCGACCCUUCGGGGAGCCUGCACAGGUGCUGCAUGGCUGUCGUCAACU
rnacentral:rRNA from 1 species